CUCAAGCGGUCUUCCCCUUCAGCCUUCCAACUAACUGGGACCACAGGUUUCUACUUACUGAAUAGUUCCUUCGUGAAGUUUCAGGAUUGCAAAAUGCAGAAGCUUCGUCACGUUAAAUACACCUGGGAGGAGCCACGCCUCAUUUUUAAAGCUUUCCAGGGCAAUGAAUGAAGUCAGACCACUGACAACAGCCACCUUGUGGAAAGAGAGGUGUGGUGGCUGCCAUCUCCAUGCACAUGGCAGCCUGGCUGGAGAUGAAGUAUGCGAAGAAGGCGCUGCAGACCUGAAUUUAUUGGCACAACCCUGGGACCAGCUGGGGACCAUGUAGAGCCUCGUCCCCUCCGGGUACUGUCAUGCACAUCCUUGGAAGAACAGACUCCAUCCUUUUUUCUUUUUCCAUGAGGGAUGACGAAACUGAAGCUCAUUAGUGGCAAGUCAGAGGCUGCAGCCUACGCCCCUUGUUCCUGGCCUGGGGCUCUUCCCGCUGAAGCACGCGGCUAAUGCUUUUAGAACCACGGCGAGCCCAGGAGGAACCGGGUGAAUGUCAGGGCUGCCCUCCCACCCCGCCAACGCUCCCUUCCAGGAUAAUGAUGAUAGAAUGCUGCUGUGACACGUCUCCCGCACACGGUGAGGCUGAAGAACUGAAGAGGAGGCAGCUGGGUACUUUUCCAUCAGCUUCGUACCCCGCCUACCCAGUCCGCUUCUCUGAGCCUGGACAUUGGAGCUUCCCCAGCCGACUGCUGUUGUUCAGAACAUGGAGUUCCCGCUCACACCUUCACACAGCCGACAACCCUGGCAAACUCUGUCCCAUCAACUACAUCGUUUGUUUGGCCUGGCAGAGUUCUGGCUACUAAACAAACAAAACAGAAAAGUACACUCUAUUCCUCCCAGGUGUACACAGUCAGAUAAGGGAGACACACCCGUUGAAGUACCCUUCCCCGAAAAUAUAUCUUGCAUUUUUGCAUUAUUAUGGAUUAAUUAAAAAACAAAUGUAUUAAAUUUUGCUUCGCUUACAUGGGGACUAGAAAGAAACAGAGGUUGGGCCAGUUGCGAUGGCUCACGCCUGUAAUCCCAGCACUUUGGGAGGCCGAGG
rnacentral:lncRNA from 10 species